GUGGUCGAGCUCCGUUCGAGUGAACACGGUUUGUUACAGUCGGGCGCAUUUUGUGUAAUAAAUUCCAAGUUGUGAUACAUGUGGACUCCAUAGCACGUCGGAUUAUAUCAACUGUAUCAGCAAGCUUUGCACGAAGCGAUUCAUCUGCAAGGCACGGAUGAGUAGCGUAGCCGAUACCGUGGCAAGCGCUCGUCGCGUAUAAGUAGAGUGGCCACCUUAAUGAAAGAAGGAGAACUCUGGCAAGAUAAGCCUAAAGAUUACAACCCGCAGAAGAUACCUUGGCAUCUGUAGCAUUACAUGCGGCUCUACAAGUGCACUUAAGACAUGAGACGAUAUCUGGUGUUGUGCUGCACUCAUCUCAUCGAGCUGUACGCAUAGAACUUCGGCUGCCCAGGUCCUGGGCGAAUGUCAGAGCCGUCCCCUCGUGCAGAGAGUCUGAUGCCUCCAGACUCCUCCCCGAGCCCUAUUCCUGUGGCGGCUUCGCUACUGCACAGUAUCCCACUUCCUUGGCGAACGCGGCAGUCCCCCGUGCAGUCCCCAAGGAGUGCGCCGCCUCCAGUCUCCUCCUUGUGCUCCAUUCCCGUAGCUAGCGCUUCUACAGACCUCCUGAAUCGCACCUCUUUCUCACGGCUACGUUUGAAUGCUAUCUCCCCUAGCUUCCUUCAUUAAACUUUCGCAUUGGGGACAAGUGAAUAAACUACUGUGAACACAACAUUUGUAUCAUAGCAAACUGCAGUCAAAAACUGCAUAUAUAUUAUAUAGCCCGGACAUUUUGCUUGACCUUGUCAAUAUCCAAAGCAACAUUGGUCAAAUACAGGCCUAGUGCUCCAACUGGUUUUUGCCUGUUCGCUCUAACAAAUGCAAAAUUAUGUAGUUUGUAGGAUUCUACCCUCUUGAAUCCCACGCGAGGUUGAAUCCAACCCGUCUUUUGCCCAACCGCUGCACCGAGAGACACAGACACAAGUGAACAAACACACUCUUUACUCAGUGACAAGGGCACCACUUACAUCUCAUGUGUCGCGGAUCCUCCGUUCCGCUCCUAAUCCCGCUGAAUACGUUGACAGCUGUCGGCAGAAACAUUGCCGUCUCCCCCCAUCGCGCGGCGCUCUUAUCUCCUUCGAUAAGCAGCGACUGUAUCAUGGGCGAACUGCAGCGCCCCACAAGUUCACACGGCGAAUACCAACCGCUGAACCUUAUCAUCUUGGUUCCUGUGAGCUUGCGCGUGUCUCCUCAUUUAAAUAGCUCAGUGCCCUCUUUACAACGAACCUCUCUUGGUCUAACCAUAUCCCUUACAUCAUACCUAAGGCUAAUCGCUCAUUAGGAUUCUUUCAACUCAGUCUGAAGCUAGCACCAUCAUCAAUUAAGAAACCAGCCUACACUACCCUGGUAGUACCUAAACUGGAAUAUACUGCAGAAUACUGGAAUACACAAUAUACUGGAAUAUAUGUCAGAAUGACACAUCAGCGACGCGGCUAUGGUUAAUCAGAAGCACACGAAGAAGUAAAACUCAAGGAUGACAAGGGAUUAAGCACAUAACGGACGUAACACACACACGCGUACACACUGUAUUGAACCGUUGAACCGUGUUGAAGAGACAGACUGUGUUGCGAUUAGUGUUCCUAUACUGUCCAGCAAAAACGUAACUACGUAAACUUUGUAGUGAACAUACCGUAGAAAUACCCUGAUAAAGAUCCGUCACUUCAACCUUGUGCUUUCCUCACUAUUCUGAACACGAUCCGCAGUACGUACAGACGCAGAGACACAACGUAACGCACACUGAUCCGAAACUCUCGUUCUGAAUUAUUGUAUGUGCGGCUCGAACGAGAACAUAAUGACUUUUGAGCUGAACCCUUGCAACCUUGAAACCUUGCGAAGAAACAAGAAAAACAAACGAAGGUAAUUCAAACGCGGAAUUCGUUCGAAUAUUGCUCCUCCAGUGUCACGUUACAAGUCGUGUUUAACCUCUAAAUAUUGGUAUCGGACGUGUAACCUCUACGAUAUUUGGAAAUCUACGUCUAUAUAAAGGUUACGCAUUGCUAAAAGUUACAAUAAAGGGUACCGAGUUAAGAGUGUAUGUGGCAUCUUGACAUCGGUUCACUGUGUCAUUAGUGUAUAUUGACUAGAAAUCUAUGCUAGGUAGGUGUAACGGUUACUGUAGACCAGACACUGAUGCCUUCUUGGCACAACCAUCAAGAUAUUUGACUAUGACCCUUUAGCUCUUGACGCUCCCAGAUAGCAUGCGAUGAGGGCAGAACCUGCAGGCGGCAGUGAAGUUUUUGCUUCGUGCUCUCACGUUGAUAUCCUUAUAGCAGUGUUCAAUAACGAAAGAGUAUCGCGACAACAUCACACAGGACGCGAAGAGACACAGCAAUGAGCAAGGUAUAUAUAAACAGGUAGCGAAACUCCCAUAGGGCCCUGCGUCUUCAGAUGGCGCAAUGAUACUGUCAGCGCCAUGCAUGCGUUGCGCGGUCUACUACUCUUGUAAAUAAAUGGCGUCACAUAUGACGUCAGCAGCAUGAAUAAGCUCUGUUUGUAUCUGUCCCUUCUAUGUUGUUCCAGCCUCAGAACAUCAGUUUCUCUCAUGAAUAAGUAGUUCAUAAUUAGCCAUGACACGUUUGCAUUCGCGUACUUCGUUUGCGUUGUAUACCCUUCCCUUUUUCCUUACCGAACCAUACUAGCCACCAAGGACAGCAAUACCAGACGAGAAAAGAGAAGAAUAUAUCACAUCUGGUUUAAUGACACAUAUGAGUUCGAAAUACAUAGAGUUAUCACAGGUUUUGACGAAGGGUACGUGAUAACCACAAAUAAAAUGGAAGUUUCAUUCCUAACCUAGACCUACACGUACACGUAGUGAUUAGCUGUUUGUAUUUCUUUAACGAGUGGUCAUAAUGGGUCCGUUGCAAAAAACAUGGCAUCGUUGGUGCACCGCUGGUUUGCUAGCACUCACGCUAUCAUGGCCGGUCUUGCCACGACGAAACCUUUUUUUUCCCGCGGCCAGCAACACGGGAUGCAUAGCACUCAUCUGUUCACACGCGUUAAUCUUGGCCUAUAGCUUCGGAAUGUGAACGUCGCUUCCUGUUUAAUCCAAAAAGUGUACGAACUCCGCAUUAGAAUGCACGGGUACAGGGCACGGAUAAAAGAAUGAACGGACAAACGAGCGUACUGCUACAUAUGCGCAGUGGAGCAGGGUACGGAAACGUACUCAGGUGGUAGAUGAUUUCGUAUAUAUGUACUAGUGGUGCAACAAAUAGCCUUUCCUAUACUUGAAUUAUGAGUAAACUAUUAGUUUAUGCAAGACCCAUGCGCGCGUCGUAAAUAUUUUUUGUUGACGACCGUACCAGUCACGGUGUAAGAUACACCGUGGUACCAGUGCUACCAACACCCAGGAUCGCUCGAGUCACGGAGAUGACAGUGUUGCCGGGUCAGAUUUGUUUUUUUUUUCCUUGUUUUCGCUACCUGGGUAAAUUUACCUUGGCAAUGAGCGUGCAAGACAACAUGUUUUUUACCUGGAUUGGCUUGGAUCGUGCCUUGGCGCUUGUCUUCGGUCUCAGCCGACUGAGCCGACGACAGUUUCGUAGUUCAGUACGAACAAUGUAGUUCAACUACUGGCUUGUAAUUACUGUUCGUUGAAUAGUUGCAAUUACCUUGUAACUACAUAGAAAGUAGUUUACUUACUACUGUCUAUCACUGAUUACAUCCUUGUAUCUCUAGCUGUUGUGUAUCUCGUUCAUAUGUAUAUACCGUAUAGUAUCUUGUACGUUUUGUUUUUCUGCAUGUUGUCAAAUAUCAGUUUUAUCAUGCACUCCGUUCGCCUUCAUUUUUUUUCUGUAUUCCCACCGUGUUCCCACCUCCAUUAUGUAAUGCCUUCGGACU